GAUGAACGCUGGCGGCGUGCCUAAUACAUGCAAGUCGAGCGAACGGACGAGAAGCUUGCUUCUCUGAUGUUAGCGGCGGACGGGUGAGUAACACGUGGAUAACCUACCUAUAAGACUGGGAUAACUUCGGGAAACCGGAGCUAAUACCGGAUAAUAUUUUGAACCGCAUGGUUCAAAAGUGAAAGACGGUCUUGCUGUCACUUAUCGAUGGAUCCGCGCUGCAUUAGCUAGUUGGUAAGGUAACGGCUUACCAAGGCAACGAUGCAUAGCCGACCUGAGAGGGUGGUCGGCCACACUGGAACUGAGACACGGUCCAGACUCCUACGGGAGGCAGCAGUAGGGAAUCUGCCGCAAUGGGCGAAAGCAUGACGGAGCAACGCCGCGUGAGUGAUGAAGGUCUUCGGAUCGUAAAACUCUGUUAUUAGGGAAGAACAUAUGUGUAAGUAACUGUGCACAUCUUGACGGUACCUAAUCAGAAAGCCACGGCUAACUACGUG
rnacentral:rRNA from 1 species